AUGUCGGCAGAUGCUGCUGCGGCGGCGAGCGUGGGCAAGCUGGUGCUCGACACUGGCUGGCUCGCCGCGCGCUCCACCGAGGUGGCCCUCACCGGCGUCGAGCUCACCACCACCCACCCGCCGGACGCCUCCGUCGCCGCCCCGUGGAUGCACGCCGCCGUCCCCGGAACCGUGCUGGGGACCCUUCUAAAAAACAAGUUGAUCCCUGAUCCCUUCUACGGGCUGAACAACGAGGCAAUCAUCGACAUCGCCGAUUCCGGGAGGGAGUACUACACGUUCUGGUUCUUCACCACCUUCCAGUGUGCUCCGGCAGGAAACCGGCACGUGAGUUUAAACUUCCGUGGAGUAAACUACUCAGCAGAAGUAUACAUAAAUGGGCACAAAGAGAUACUUCCAAAAGGAAUGUUCCGAAGGCACACCCUUGAUAUUACUGAAGUUCUUCAUCCUGAGGGCAGCAAUCUGCUUGCUGUCCUCGUUCAUCCUCCUGAUCAUCCUGGUACGAUUCCUCCUCAGGGAGGUCAAGGCGGUGAUCAUGAGAUUGGAAAAGAUGUUGCUACGCAAUAUGUUGAAGGAUGGGAUUGGAUGUGCCCGAUAAGGGAUAGAAACACGGGAAUCUGGGAUGAAGUUUCGAUCUGCAUAACUGGGGCUGUGAACAUAACCGAUCCCCAUCUGGUUUCAACUUUUCAUGACGAUUUUAAGAGAUCGUAUCUACAUUGUACACUUCAGUUGGAGAACAAAAGUUCAUGGCUCGCAGAUUGUAGUUUAAAAAUUCAGGUUUCUGCUGAACUAGAGGGGGACAUUUGUUUGGUGGAACAUCUUCAGAGUUAUGCCAUAUCGAUUCCUCCUCGUUCAGUUCUGGAAUACACUAUCCCUCCGUUAUUCUUCUAUAAGCCAAACCUGUGGUGGCCAAAUGGCAUGGGAAAGCAAUCCCUGUACAAUGUUGAAAUUAGUGUGGAUGUCAAUGGACUAGGAGAGUCCGAUGCAUGGAGUCAUUAUUUUGGGUUCCGUAAGGUUGAGAGUUCUAUUGAUGAUUCCACUGGUGGGAGGAUCUUCAAGGUAAACGGUGAGCCUAUUUUCAUCCGAGGAGGGAACUGGAUAUUGUCAGAUGGCCUGCUUCGACUAACAAAGAAGCGCUACAUGACCGAUAUCAAGUUUCAUGCUGAUAUGAACUUUAAUAUGCUUCGCUGUUGGGGUGGUGGAUUAGCAGAGAGGCCUGAUUUUUACCAUUUUUGUGAUGUAUAUGGUUUGAUGGUAUGGCAGGAAUUCUGGAUAACUGGAGAUGUUGAUGGUCGUGGACUUCCAAUAUCAAACCCAGAUGGUCCUUUGGACCAUGCUCUCUUCCUUCUAUGUGCUAGAGAUACUGUCAAGUUACUCAGAAAUCAUGCUAGUCUAGCUCUAUGGGUUGGUGGUAAUGAGCAAGUCCCACCAAUUGACAUCAACAGAGCACUGAAGAAUGAUUUGAAGCUACAUCCUAUGUUUUUGAGCAACCAGACAACAAAAAAUCAAGGAAAGUAUCUAUCACAAGACCCAACUGACCCAAGUAAAUACCUGGAUGGUACUAGGGCGUAUGUCCAAGGAUCAAUGUGGGAUGGUUUUGCUGAUGGGAAAGGCAAUUUCACUGAUGGUCCAUAUGAGAUUCAGUAUCCAGAGAGCUUUUUCAAGAAUAGUUUCUACAAAUAUGGGUUUAACCCUGAAGUUGGUUCUGUGGGGGUUCCAGUUGCUGCAACGAUUAGAGCAACAAUGCCUCCAGAAGGGUGGAGUAUUCCAAUUUUUAAGAAGGGAAUUGAUGGGUACAUACAAGAAGUCCCAAACCCAAUAUGGGAUUACCACAAGUACAUUCCCUACUCGAAACCGGGGAAGGUGCAUGAUCAGAUUGAACUAUACGGCCAUCCAAAAGAUCUUGAUGAUUUCUGUGAAAAAGCACAAUUGAUCAAUUAUGUUCAGUACAGAGCUCUCCUGGAAGGAUGGACUUCUUUCAUGUGGACAAAGUUCACAGGUGUUCUAAUUUGGAAGACGCAAAAUCCAUGGACCGGACUACGAGGACAGUUCUAUGAUCACCUCCAAGACCAAACUGCCGGGUUCUAUGGUUGCCGUUGUGCUGCUGAGCCGAUUCAUGUCCAAUUGAAUUUGGCUAGUUACAACAUAGAGGUGGUAAACACUACGUCCGAUAAGCUGACAGACGUGGCUGUAGAAAUUUCAGUAUGGGAUCUUGACGGUGCAUCCCCAUAUUACAAAGUUACAGAGAAGUUCGUGGCACCGCCAAAGAAAGUGAAGCAAAUUAUGGAGAUGGAAUACCCUAAGAUGAAGAAUGCCAAGCCUGUCUAUUUUCUACUGCUUAAACUCUUCAGGCUUUCAGACAAGAAAGUACUCUCCAGAAACUUCUAUUGGCUACAUCUUCCUGGUAAAGACUACAAGUUGUUGGAAGAAUAUCGGCAGAGGACAAUUCCGCUCGAGAUCGGCUCCGAAAUUUCUGUCUUAGGCGGCACAUACAAGGUAAGAAUGUCCAUAAAGAACAAGUCAAAGAAAUCCGCAGCUGAAAGCACAACCUCGGUCUCAACUAUGGAGCCAGAGGAUGGAAAUGGUCUCCACAGCAUUAGCGAAAAAACUACUUGUGUGGUACAGAAAAGUGGUCUGUGGAGUAAAAUUCACAGGAACAUUGAUCUCGCAAGAUCGGGUGACAAACCAAGAACACUUGAGGUGAAGGGGACUGAUUCAGGUGUGGCGUUUUUCCUUCAUUUCUCGGUGCACACCUCUGAAUCAUCCACUGGGGAGAAUUACAGGGACACCAGAAUCCUUCCGGUGCACUACUCGGACAACUAUUUUUCUCUCAUGCCCGGGGAGAAGAUGACAGCCGACAUCUCCUUCGAGGCUCCUGAAGGAUCCAAGCCCAGGGUCAUUCUGAGAGGCUGGAACUAUCAUCUGAACCAUGCAGUGAUGAUGUGA
rnacentral:rRNA from 1 species